UCCUCCUUCCUCGAGUAAGAAAACUUGCACUCCAAGUACUCCAUCUUGGUCUUACUCAACCUAAAACCUUUAGACUCUAGGGUUUGUCUCUAUACCUCCAACUUAUCAUUAACACCUCUCCACAUCUCAUCAAUAAAAACUACAUCAUUCGUAAAAAGCAUACACCAAGGCACCUUUCCUUGUAUACUCUACAUCAACACAUCCAUCACCAUGA
rnacentral:lncRNA from 1 species